rnacentral:tRNA from 1 species
CAAGGCGUAGCUAUAACUCAAAGCACUCAGCUUACACCUGAAAGAUAUCCAUUCAACCGGAUCGCCUUGA